AGAAAAGCACUGGCAUAUCUGAAAUAUUCAGUCAGGUAGCAAGUGUAUAGGUUCUAAGUUGGUUCUAGUUAAACAGAUUAGUCAGUUAACAGUUGGUUAGCAGACAAAUAACAUGUCAGGGUGCAGAAGAUAAGGUGUAGUAGGUGAGCUAGGGUGGCUGGAAGAAGCCAAAGAAAAUAGGCUAGUAAUGAUUACAUGCAACUGAUAGAGAGACCGAGUAGGGGCCGGAUAGGGGCCAAUGUAGUAUGACCGGGAGUAGGAAGGCUCGGCUAUAUAACUUCAAGACCUUAAUUGACUUCCCAAAACUCUAGCACAAUAAAGAAGGAAAAAGAGAGUCGACUGGGAGUGAGAGUAGAAGAAUUCGGCUGGAGAAGGAGAAAAAGGAAUUGAGCAGAAAUCAAUUGCAACCUCUAAGCUAUUAAGGUACUUUUUUCUAUUCUCUUUCCAGUCCAUUUUCGUGUCACUUGUGCUCUGUUAUGGCCGAAUGGCCUAGAAUAGACGUAAGGGACAGUUGUGCUAAUUGUUAUGCUAUGUGUACUGUUGUGAUUUGGAACUGUAAUGUAGCACAUUAUGUUUGUUAUUACUUAAGCCAUAAGGCUGGGAUCACUAAGCUAAGAUUUGUGUAUUAGGUAUAAGUAUAUAUAAACUACACUUUAUGUGUUUGAUAAAAGGCUUGUGAGAACUGUUGAUAACAACUGUCUUAAAAAGGGAGUGCAGUCAAGCCUAAUUCUAUAUCAAUAUUAUAUAUUGAAGUCCUAAAGAUACAAAGGUGCUAAGAGGGCAGUUUUUGCAUGAACAUAAGAUGUUAUAACUGAUUGUAUACCAGUCCAUAUAUGAACUAAGCAUUUAACUAUGACUGAGCCACUGUUUUAAGGAUUUUGUAUGCCAGACUAGAGGUUUUGAUAAUGACUGAAUUAGUAUAAACUAUUCCAUGUCAUCCAAUCAUACACUAUGCAUAUUAAAUGCUAUAUAAAAGAGAUAGUAUAAGCUUCUAUGUUGCACACUUAUGUUAUCUUUGUAAGCAUGUUGGUAAACCAUGUUUGUUUUGAAGUUAAAUACCAAAGAGGGCUGUGUUAGCCUAAAGCAUAAAGACCUCGACUUAGAUGCUUUAAAACAUGAAAAGAUGGUAGAUAAAAGAUACAUGUGUGAGAAAGGCAUAUGUAUUAGUGCUUUCUACCAUUUGGUGUAAUAAACCUUGCCUAAAUUGCUUGUCUAAGACUGUUAUAAUGGCAAAAACAGUAUGGCUGGGAAGGGAGUCCAAAAUGGUGGUUUAAUUCUAACAUAAAAUGUAGCUAUGCUUCAAAUACACUUUAUGCCUAUGUAUAACAUGUAUUGGUGUAACACUUGAGCAAAACAAAGUAAACAGGGACUGAAAUGGUGAGCUAUGCUAACUGUUAUGAGAGGCUUGACUAAGUAAUGACUAUCAUUUAAAUUUUGUGAAUGCUUGGCUUAGGCACAAGGAGAUAGGUUGGCUGUGGUGUUAUAAGGUGAUCUAAUGUAGUUAUAGAGCAAGCAAAUAGCUAUGACACCAGUGAUUAUGGACUGUGCACACCACCUGCUCGAUGAAAAUCCCAAGUGGACUGCCUUAAUUAAAAGUCAAGUAGUAGGCACAAACAAGGCUAGAAAUUUACUCAUGUAUUGCAUGUAUCGAUAAUUAGCAAGUUAAGCCUCUUAAAAUGAAAUAAAAUUCAGUCUCAAGUUAAAAUAAAGAAUUAGUAAAAUUAGAAUGUCAAGCACUGUUUUGGGCAGUCUAUUAAGACAGUCAUGAUAGUGUUAUAAAUUCUAAACAUACUUGUAUGUGCUAGACAUAAUUCGUAUAAAAACCAAGCUUUUGUUCAAAAGUUUUAUAACUUUUUGGACUGCUCUCUUUUAGAAAAUAGUAUAGAGGAGGCAGGGCUGCUGCCUAAUGGCACCGGCAGGCAUAAAUUUUUUUGGGACUUGUCUCUUUUGGUUUCCUAUUAGUUUUAGUUAUUAAGAUAAUAGGUUUUUGGAUGAGGUAGAAAAGUGGGGACCAAGAUUAACUUUGGUUGCAAGAUUUCUAGUUAUAACAAAGAUAGAGCUAGGAAAGGCUUAUGAACUGCUGUCUAUGACAGCAGUGACUGCCACAACACGCAGAAGAAAAAAAAAUCUAGCAUGCUCGGGAUUAAAAGUAAGAGAAGUCAGUUAAGUCCCUGCCCUUUUGUUUAGUUACUGCAGUUGAUGAAGCAUGAUAGUAUGCAAAUGAGCAAGGUUGUUGCCUAGGUAGCUGCAGUAGACUGGAUGGGUGAUGGCUGGGAGCUGCUAAUAGGCUUUCAGGCAGUGCGUUUGGUUAGUUGCCCUACCUAUCGCACAUUAAAGCCUCUUAGUGAUUGAACUAGUUAGCUAGGAAGUAGAAUGGCUUGAAGCAAGGAUCAAGGGGGAAGGGGCUGCUGCCACUAAUUGCAGUCACAUGUACUGCAGCAGGUGCAGCUGCUGCCUAUGGGCAGCAGCAGGCGGCAAGGAAGGCUGCAGUUGUGAGCUGUGGCUGAGGUAGUAUUAGGUAGUAUAGUUUAAACUAGAAAUACAACUGGAGAAAUUAAUUAACUGAUUGCUUAAAUAAGUAUGUAUAUAGUAUAGUUAUAAUAACUUAGUAGUUAUAUUAUACUUGGGGCCGUUAAGCCAAUGUUGUGGCUGCUAUGUUGUGGUUGGGGCUGCGAGGCCAAGUGUGGCCACACCAAGCUUAGCUAAGCCUCAUGGGGCCAAGCCAAGCUUGGUUGAUUGGCACGAAAGAACAAUAAGGAACCAAUUGGUACAUUUAAUAAAAAGGUUUAGAAGGGGACUGUUUUGACAUAGAGAGGAAAAUCAAGAAUGAUUCACUUUUGAAUAAAGCUAUAAAGUAUUACAAGAAUUAUAAAUUACUCAACCAAGUUGUGAAUAUUUUCAAAGGCAUAAAAUAAGUUACCAAAGCAUCUUGUAUGCUAGAAAUCUCUAAGCAAAGCAUGAAAAUUUCAUGUAACUAAGUUCUUAAUAUGGUGUAAGCAAUAUAUAGGAUUGGUGUGACACCAUUAAAGAGAAAAAUGGUGAGGAUAAGAACAUGGAUGAGAUAUUUGAAAAAUGUGUUACAUAUAAGAAAUCUAUCCAUGACUACAAACAUGCUUGAUUAAUGCAAAUAAUAACUGUAAUAUGAUUCCUAUUACUUGUUGUAAGCAUGUCGAACCCCAUCAAAGUGAAAAAUAUCUAGUGUGAAAGCAUGAAUGAGAUAUUUGAAAAAUGUAUCAAAAAUAAGAAUUUAACUACAACCAUGAUCACUGAAACUAUGUGAUAUGUGAGCUUACAAACUAUAUAACUUAGCUAUGUGAUUAACAUGCUUGUUAAUAUAAAUAACUGUGUAGGAUUUUGUGAGAACACUUCAAAUAAAGCUGAAAUCCUAACAAUAGACUACAAACAAGGCAAGUUUCUCAGUUUAUUUAUGUGGACUUAUAAUUGCUAUAAAUAACUGUUAGCAUGAUUUAUGUUUAUAAGUAUGUAAUACAUAUGAACUGCAUUAUUUGCUUUGUGAAUGAUGAAGAUCAAAUUAUGACUAAUUAUUGAAUUGAGUCGGAGAACUCAAUAUAUAUGUGUAAUGAAUGACAGGUACAUGACAUGUGUAGUAUGCUAUGGUAUGUAUGUUGUUACCAGCAGGACAUAAAUGUGAUAAUGUAUUGGUAAUAUGCUUGAACACCAAGAAUAUAAAUGCAUGAACUGAAUGUGAAACCUAUGUGCUACGUGAUGCAUGAUAGACUGUUAGACUUGUUGGGUCGUCGUACUCAAUUUUGCUUAAUUUGUAGGUUAAAGCUAUGAUGCGAUCUAUCGUGAUUAGGAGCGCAUGAAAAGAUGACUAGUGUUUUAGUUGAGAUUGUGUUGAAUCAUUUGAUGAGAUUUUCAUGUGUAAAUCACAGAUGUGUAAAUUGUUGAAAUUAUUCGAUAGACGAAGAUUAUUUGUUCUAAAAAGGGGAU
rnacentral:lncRNA from 1 species